GGGGAAGACUGUGGCCAGGGGAAGACUGUGGCCAGGGGCAGACUGUGGACAGGACUGUUUGGUAUGGAGAGAGGUUUGGUAUGGAGAGAGGUUUGGUAUGGAGAGAGGGAAAGAGAGAUAGAGAGUGUGUGUGUGUGUGUGGUAUGGAGAGAGGGAAAGAGAGUGUGUGUGUUUGAUAUGGAGAGAGGUUUGGUAUGGAGAGAGGUUUGGUAUGGAGAGAGGUUUGGUAUGGAGAGAGGUUUGGUAUGGAGAGAGGUUUGGUAUGGAGAGAGGUUUGGUAUGGAGAGAGUGUGUUUGUGUUUGGUAUGGAGAGAGGUUUGGUAUGGAGAGAGAGAGUGUGUUUGUGUUUGGUAUGGAGAGAGUGUGUGUGUUUUGUACGGAGAGAGUGUGUUUGUGUUUGGUAUGGAGAGGUGUGUGUGUUUGGUGUGGAGAAAGUGUGUGUGUGUGUGUGUUUGUGUGUGUGUGUGUGUGUGUGUGUGUGUGUGUGUGUGUGUGUGUGUGUGUGUGUGUGUGUGUGUGUGUGUGUGUGUGUGUGUGUGUGUGUGUGUGUGUGUGUGUGUGUGUGUGUUUGGGGAGAGAGAGUUUGUGUGUGUGUUUGGAGAGAGAGAAAGGUUGGUUAAUAGUCCCUACCUCCUUCACUAAUCAUGCAUACAUCAAUGUCAGAUAAGGGGUCAGGGGUCAAAAUGCAAUGAUUCCCAAUUGGACUGAAAUAAAUCCCUCCUCCCAGAGGGAGAAGGCACCAGCUAGGCUCACAGUGCAUUAAAACAGCAGACACCAAGCUAGCAGAUAACGAGGGGGCCAGCCUCAGAGAUACCCCACCUCCCAGUCCGCUGGUCCCUGGGGCUUCAGCUUCCUGGAGAUAAUGAUGGGAUGGACACACUAACAAAACAACAGCACUGGGGAAAAUCCUCUCCAGCCUUCCACCCAUGUGAGACCAGACCAGUUCCAAAGCCUAGACCAGAACAGCCCAGUCUAUCCCAGACCAGAACAGCCCAGUCUAUCCCAGACCAGAACAGCCCAGUCUAUCCCAGACCAGAACAGCCCAGUCUAUCCCAGACCAGAACAGCCCAGUCUAUCCCAGACCAGAACAGCCCAGUCUAUCCCAGACCAGAACAGCCCAGUCUAUCCCAGACCAGAACAGCCCAGUCUAUCCCAGACCAGAUGAAAACAGUCUAGACAGACAGAGAUGGAUAGAGAGAUGUGUGCUGUUAGGUUCACAUCAACUUCCUCAUAUUAUUGCUAGCCCUAGCUCAUGUCAGCAGGGGAAAUGUAGCCGUUUUCUGCCCCAGAGUCCAGAGUCCAGAGCCCAGAGCCCAGAGUCCAGAUCCCAGAGCCCAGAGUCCAGAGUCCAGAGCACAGAGCCCAGAGUCCAGAGUCCAGAGUCCAGAUCCCAGAUCCCAGAGUCCAGAGUCCAGAGUCCAGAGUCCAGAGCCCAGAGUCCAGAGCCCAGAGUCCAGAGUCCAGAGUCCAGAGUCCAGAGCCCAGAGUCCAGAGCCCAGAGUCCAGAGCCCAGAGCCCAGAGCCCAGAGCCCAGAGCCCAGAGCCCAGAGCCCAGAGCCCAGAGUCCAGAGUCCAGAGCACAGAGUCCAGAGCCCAGAGUCCAGAGUCCAGACAGACGUGUGUUAAGGGACUCUUUGAACUGUCUCAUUGUUUGAAUUGGGGUUUAUCUUCUUUUACUAAUCCUCAGUACACAUAGAAAACGAAGAGAGUGAGUCGAAACGAAGCAGAUAUGGAGAGUAUAGUUGACCUUGCUGUACGUACUGUCUACAGUGUAAUAUGGACUCAGUGGAAAGCAUUGAUACAGUACUACAGACUGAGACACCUGGAACAAAGUGACCAAAAGCAGAGCAGAGCUGUGUGCAGCACAAGGUUCAAGUGUUUCCGUUUGACCCCCCAGGCUGACUGUCUGUGUCCUGUCUGUGUCCGGUCUGUGGCCUGUCUGUGUCCUGUCUGUGCCCUGUCUGUGCCCUGUCUGUGUCCUGUCUGUGUCCUGUCUGUGCCCUGUCUGUGUCCUGUCUGUACCCUGUCUGUGUCCUGUCUGUGCCCUGUCUGUGUCCGGUCUGUGGCCUGUCUGUGUCCCUGUCUGUGUGCCCUGUCUGUGCCCUGUCUGUGUCCCUGUCU
ensembl:lncRNA